AUGUCAUUCGCAUUAGAUAUUUUGGAACUCGGUGUAGUUUUCAAUCUGACGUUGAUGGUUCAUGGCUUCCGGAAGCCAUCCUCUCCGGUGAUGGGAGGAGUAUGCCGCGAGGAAGGUGUAGCAAAUAAGUGGCACCACAAGCACCGGGUGUUUCUGAAACAGCAUGACAUUCGCCUGAAGACAGUAACGCUGGAAAAAUAUGUACACUGCAAGAAAAACAUUGAAUUUGCAAAAUUCUUUGUUCGGAACGCAAAGGAGUUUGAGACUAUGAGGCUCAAGUUUCUCUCCCCCCAGACAACAUCACUGAAGGAUUUUAUGAACAUCAAGAAGAGAUGCUUUAAUGGGGCAACAAGGCUUCUAGACGUGCUCAUCUUAUAUUCGUCACCAUCCAUCUUCUUCUACUCCGAUCCAAGUAUCUGGACAUCAGAGCAAGAGCGAGAUGGUGAGAGAUCGGAGAUGGAGGCGAUUCAGACGACCACCGUACGUCUUAUCGAGGUGGUCACGGAGAGCAACCCGCAGCCCAACGCGCUGCAACGCCUCCAGGGGCUGCUGAUGUCCGCCACGGCGCAUUCCUUCUUCGACGCCAGCUUCGCCGCCUGGCUCAAGGGUGCACUGGAUGACUUCAUUCACAACUGCCCGCGUCCGAUUUUGGCGAUUGCAGCGGCUAUCGCCGGCGCGGAGCACCCCACUGAGCUCGCCUCGCUCAGGUCCAUCCUCCCCUCCGCAAGAUUUCCCCCUCCCGGCUUCUACCGCUCACCGAAAAUCCAGUCCCGUGCUAGGGUUCUCUACUCCGGCACACCCUUCAUCGUCGGCGCAUCUCUGGCGGGCUCUGGCAGCUCUUAUUCGUCGUCUACGGUGCCCGCAGUUGUCGGUCCACCUCGAGCAGGUCGGCGCGGAGGAUCUCCUCCCGCAGGUUCCAUAGACACAGCGCACCCUGCAGUUGCCGGUCCGGGACGAGGGCGGGCACAGCGAGCCUUGUCCUGCUCGACGACGAUGCUGACAAACACCGGUGCUCCUCCUGGUCGACCUCUAAGGAGGAGCGCCAGUACAGCAUCAGCACGCCCUGCAGCUGAACCCCCCUUCUCCACCCAUCCAGUGGCGUACAGGAUGUCAGCAAGAGGAGUUAGUGCAGAAUCAAUAUCAGAACCAUCAGAAGUUCAUGAUUGGACGUGUAUGUUGUUGUAUUUGGUAGUGCGAGGAGCAAAAUCUGAGAAGUUGUUGCGUUCAGGUUUAUGUGAGUUCUUGAUAUUGGUUUAUGGGAGCAGUUUCAACCACAACGACAUGCAUUUUGAUGACUUCGGUGUGCAGCCAGAAACAUCGGAUCACCCAUAG
rnacentral:rRNA from 1 species